UACGAAGGGGGCUAGCGUUGCUCGGAAUCACUGGGCGUAAAGGGUGCGUAGGCGGGUCUUUAAGUCAGGGGUGAAAUCCUGGAGCUCAACUCCAGAACUGCCUUUGAUACUGGCGAUCUCGAGUCCGGGAGAGGUGAGUGGAACUGCGAGUGUAGAGGUGAAAUUCGUAGAUAUUCGCAAGAACGACCAGUGGCGAAGGCGGCUCACUGGCCCGGUACC
rnacentral:rRNA from 1 species